rnacentral:pre_miRNA from 1 species
UAUUAUUUUGCUUUGGUUUGGUCUGUUUACAAAGUGAGAAAAUCACUUUCGUUGUUCGUUGUUAGAAAAAAAUAUGAUCAAUUAUAUUUGUUUGGACAGAGAAAUCACGGUCAUGAGAUGAGUUUUCUAAUCUGUACUGUAAUCUGUAUACGGUGAUGGUGAAUAUUGACGAUGGAUUCUCUUUCUACCGUGUUUCUCUGCCCAAUCAGAUAUAUUUGAUCUUCAUUCCAUUUCUGU